AGUAAAAUAAUCUAAAAAAAGAUGAUAAACUGUAAAUUUAUUUAUGAACAUUGAGUUCUUUUACUA
rnacentral:tRNA from 1 species